GCGUCCUUAGCUCAGCUGGAUAGAGCGUCGGCCUUCUAAGCCGAAUGUCGCAGGUUCGAAUCCUGCAGGGCGCACCA
rnacentral:tRNA from 1 species